rnacentral:misc_RNA from 1 species
GAUGAAGAACGUAGUGAAAUGCGAUAAGUAAUGUGAAUUGCAGAAUUCAGUGAAUCAUCGAAUCUUUGAACGCACAUUGCACCCGGUGGUAUUCCGCCGGGUAUGCCUGUUCGAGCGUCAUUUCCACCCUCAGGCUCCCCUUCCUCACGGGGGGGGAGGGCCUGGCGUUGGGGAUCUACGGGCCCUUUUCUGGCGCCCGUAGUCUCCUAAAUUAAUCGGCGUACGCGCUGUACGUUGCCCCCUGCGUAGUAGUGAUUUCUCGCAUCGGGCCGUAGCGCUGUCCAGCCGCUAAACUGCAACUACGCAUUUAGCUAGGUUUGACCUCGAAUCAGGUAGGGUUACCCGCUGAACUUAAGCAUAUCAAUAAGCGGAGGA